GACGAACGCUGGCGGCGUGCUUAACACAUGCAAGUCGAACGAUGAAGCCUAGCUUGCUAGGUGGAUUAGUGGCGAACGGGUGAGUAAUACGUGAGUAACCUACCUUUAACUCUGGGAUAAGCCUGGGAAACUGGGCCUAAUACCGGAUACGACCAAUCUCCGCAUGGGGUGUUGGUGGAAAGCGUUAUGUAGUGGUUAUAGAUGGGCUCACGGCCUAUCAGCUUGUUGGUGAGGUAACGGCUCACCAAGGCGACGACGGGUAGCCGGCCUGAGAGGGUGACCGGCCACACUGGGACUGAGACACGGCCCAGACUCCUACGGGAGGCAGCAGUGGGGAAUAUUGCACAAUGGGCGCAAGCCUGAUGCAGCGACGCCGCGUGAGGGAUGACGGCCUUCGGGUUGUAAACCUCUGUUAGCAGGGAAGAAGAGAAAUUGACGGUACCUGCAGAGAAAGCGCCGGCUAACUACGUG
rnacentral:rRNA from 1 species